AUUGAACGCUGGCGGCAGGCCUAACACAUGCAAGUCGAACGGUAACAGGAAGACGCUUGCUUCUUUGCUGACGAGUGGCGGACGGGUGAGUAAUGUCUGGGAAACUGCCUGAUGGAGGGGGAUAACUACUGGAAACGGUAGCUAAUACCGCAUAACGUCGCAAGACCAAAGAGGGGGACCUUCGGGCCUCUUGCCAUCGGAUGUGCCCAGAUGGGAUUAGCUAGUAGGUGGGGUAACGGCUCACCUAGGCGACGAUCCCUAGCUGGUCUGAGGGGAUGACCAGCCACACUGGAACUGAGACACGGUCCAGGCUCCUACGGGAGGCAGCAGUGGGGAAUAUUGCACAAUGGGCGCAAGCCUGAUGCAGCCAUGCCGCGUGUAUGAAGAAGGCCUUCGGGUUGUAAAGUACUUUCAGCGGGGAGGAAGGGAGUAAAGUUAAUACCUUUACUCAUUGACGUUACCCGCAGAAGAAGCACCGGCUAACUCCGUG
rnacentral:rRNA from 1 species